GACGAACGCUGGCGGCGUGCUUAACACAUGCAAGUCGAACGCUGAACCCGCUUCGGUGGGGGAUGAGUGGCGAACGGGUGAGUAACACGUGGGCAACCUGCCCCCGGCUCUGGGAUAACUCCAAGAAAUUGGGGCUAAUACCGGAUGUGACCGCUGGCCGCAUGGUCUGGUGGUGGAAAGGGUUUCCGGCUGGGGAUGGGCCCGCGGCCUAUCAGCUUGUUGGUGGGGUAGUGGCCUACCAAGGCGACGACGGGUAGCCGGCCUGGGAGGGUGACCGGCCACACUGGGACUGAGACACGGCCCAGACUCCUACGGGAGGCAGCAGUGGGGAAUAUUGCGCAAUGGGCGGAAGCCUGACGCAGCGGCGCCGCGUGGGGGAUGACGGCCUUCGGGUUGUAAACCUCUUUCAGCAGGGACGAAGCGCAAGUGACGGUACCUGCAGAAGAAGCACCGGCCAACUACGUG
rnacentral:rRNA from 1 species